UGUGCCCCAGCAUUGUCUGAUAGUUGUUGACUUGUUGUCGUCUUUCAGAUCAGUUGAGCAGCACCGUUUCGCCACCAAAAAACAACACCGUUUGAUUCUGUUGUUCCCCAUUCUUUCAAAUUCAUCAUUCUCCAAUGUUAUCUCAAUACUGUUACUCUACUUGGUUCUCUAUGCUUAGUAAUAAAUGUGAGUUGAUGUGGUAGUAUUAGUGACUUGGUUUUCAAGUGGGAAAUCAUCUGCAUGUAAAAUGUAUGUGGCCAGAUCAUUGGCCUGUAAUUUGGUUGCAACCCUCUUCAUUCUUCAAAUCAAUAUUUUUUUUUGGAAUAAACAUUAAUUAUUAUGCAUUUCUCACUUAAGGAAAGUAUUCUUUUUCUUUUUACUAUACUUCUCUUUAUUAUUUACAUGUACACUAUAACUUAAAUUGUUCCUGAGUUCACUAUGUAUUGCUGCAGUAUUUGGACGAGAACAAGUCAUUGAUUCUGAAGAUUGUUGAGAGCC
rnacentral:lncRNA from 1 species